GACGAACGCUGGCGGCGUGCCUAAUACAUGCAAGUAGAACGCUGAAGGAGGAGCUUGCUUCGCUGGAUGAGUUGCGAACGGGUGAGUAACGCGUAGGUAACCUGCCUGGUAGCGGGGGAUAACUAUUGGAAACGAUAGCUAAUACCGCAUAAUAGUAGAUGCUGCAUGACAUUUGCUUAAAAGUUGCAAUUGCAUCACUACCAGAUGGACCUGCGUUGUAUGAGCUAGUUGGUGGGGUAACGGCUCACCAAGGCGACGAUACAUAGCCGACCUGUGAGGGGGAGCAGCCGCACUGGGAGUGAGACACGCCACAGACUCAUACGGGUGGCAGCAGUAGGGAAUCUGGAGCAAUGGACGGAAGUCUGACCGAGCAACGCGGCGUGAGUGAGGAAGGUCUUCGGGUCGUAAAGCUCUGUUGUAAGGGAAGAACGCGUGUGCGAGUGGAAAGUUCCCACUGUGACGGUAUCUUACCAGAAAGGGCCGGCUAACUACGUG
rnacentral:rRNA from 1 species